rnacentral:rRNA from 1 species
GGCGAACGGGUGAGUAACACGUAGGGAACCUGCCCGCGCACCGGGAAUACGCUCUGGAAACGGAGAACAAAUCCCGAUGUACAGGAAGGAGGCAUCUUCUUUCUGUGAAACAUCCUCUAGGGGAUGGGGCGCGGAUGGACCUGCGGUGCAUUAGUUUGUUGGCGGGGUAAAGGCCCACCAAGACGAUGAUGCAUAGCCGGCCUGAGAGGGCGGACGGCCACAUUGGGACUGAGACACGGCCCAGACUCCUACGGGAGGCAGCAGUGAGGAAUAUUGGUCAAUGGGCGGGAGCCUGAACAGCCAAGUCGCGUGAGGGAUGACGGCCCUAUGGGUUGUAAACCUCUUUUGCCGGGGAGCAAAGUGCCGCACGUGUGCGGUUUGGAGAGUACCCGGAGAAAAAGCACCGGCUAACUCCGUGCCAGCAGCCGCGGUAAUACGGAGGAUGCGAGCGUUAUCCGGAUUUAUUGGGUUUAAAGGGUGCGUAGGCGGACGCUUAAGUCAGCGGUAAAAUUGCGGGGCUCAACCUCGUCGAGCCGUUGAAACUGGGUGCCUUGAGUGGGCGAGAAGUACGCGGAAUGCGUGGUGUAGCGGUGAAAUGCAUAGAUAUCACGCAGAACUCCGAUUGCGAAGGCAGCGUACCGGCGCCCAACUGACGCUGAAGCACGAAGGCGUGGGUAUCGAACAGGAUUAGAUACCCUGGUAGUCCACGCAGUAAACGAUGAAUGCUAGUUGUCCGGGGCGAUUGAGUUCUGGGUGACACAGCGAAAGCGUUAAGCAUUCCACCUGGGGAGUACGCCGGCAACGGUGAAACUCAAAGGAAUUGACGGGGGCCCGCACAAGCGGAGGAACAUGUGGUUUAAUUCGAUGAUACGCGAGGAACCUUACCCGGGCUCAAACGCAGGAGGGAUGUUUUUGAAAGGAGGCAGCCAGCAAUGGUCUCCUGCGAGGUGCUGCAUGGUUGUCGUCAGCUCGUGCCGUGAGGUGUCGGCUUAAGUGCCAUAACGAGCGCAACCCCUGCUGACAGUUGCUAACAGGUUAAGCUGAGGACUCUGUCAGGACUGCCGGCGCAAGCCGAGAGGAAGGCGGGGAUGACGUCAAAUCAGCACGGCCCUUACGUCCGGGGCGACACACGUGUUACAAUGGCAGGGACAGCGGGAAGCCACCAAGCGAUUGGGCGCGGAACCCGAAACCCUGUCUCAGUUCGGAUUGGAGUCUGCAACUCGACUCCAUGAAGCUGGAUUCGCUAGUAAUCGCGCAUCAGCCAUGGCGCGGUGAAUACGUUCCCGGGCCUUGCACUCACCGCCCGUCAAG